UCCGGCGAUACCAUACUGAAUAUACCGGUUCUCGUUAGAUCACCGAAGUCAAGCAUCAUUGGGCGCGGUCAGUACUUGGGUGGGUGACUACCUGGGAACACCGCGUGCCGUU
rnacentral:rRNA from 1 species